UGCUACCUACUGAAAGAAACAGACAUGCAUGGAAUACUGAUUCAAGAUGAAUAACCAAAUGUCAAAACCGAUGCAAUGUAAAAGCAGAUAUUGUGUCUCCUAAACUGAACAGCACAUUGGAUGUGAACGGCACCGAUGUACCACUAAAAACAGUCAACUCUGAAUUCAUUUAACCAAGGAGAUCUAUCCCUUAAAUACAUCUAAAGAAAGGAGGGAGGGGCGUUGUUUGUGCAUAAAACAAACCUUCAAGCUGCUUCAGUCUGUAACAAAAAACAGAGAGUAUUUCAGUGGCCACGCCAGUAGCGUGAAAAACAACACUCGAUCCAAAGUGUUGUUUUGGAUCUGCAGAGCCUCACCUUUAACCUGGAGUUUGGCCGAGCACUCGGCCCGGCCGAAGGAGUUGACAGCCACCACCCUGUACUCGCCGCUGUCCUCGGCCCGGACGCGGAGGACGGACAUGGAACAGACACCGUAGGAGUUGGUGAUGUAGUAGUUGUUGUCGUGGUUGAUGGAGAUGUCGUUGAGGUACCAGGUGACGCUGGGGGUGGGGCAGCCCCGGAUGGCGCAGGUCAUGUAGAGCUGGUAGCCCUUCGGAGGGGUGUGGACUUUCAGGGGCACCAGGAUGGAUGGAGGCCUCUCGAAGCUGAUCUCCGUAGGCAUGCUGGUCGUCACAGCGACUAGGUUGACACAAAUCGGAAAAAAGGUUGAAACGUGUAUAUGUGUAUAUCAAAGCAAUUCAUUAUUUUUUAGGGGAAUGGGGGGGGGCAUGUCAAUGAGGGGGCCUAGGCCCCCCCCAAACUCCCUUGUGGCUACGCCCCUGGUAGCCCUGGUUUCUCACUUCUGUUGCUGUUGAUGCCCCAGGUGGGCGACUGGGAGGGCUCGGAGGGGCCCAUGUCGUUCUUGGCGAACACGCGGAAGUGGUACUCUCGCCCGGGCUGGAUGUUGUUGGCCGUGUACGUGUUGCAGAACAGCCGGUCGGCCACCGUGUGCCACAUCCGGGUGUUGGAGUCGUGCUCCGCCACCAUGUAGUGCAGGCGGUCAUCCACUUCCUGGUCCGGGGAUGGGGCCCAGGUCACCACCACCCUGCCGUGGACGGUCUGCUGCAGCUCCACCGGCCCCGGGCGCUUCGGUUCAUCUGGAAGCACACCUCGCCACUCGAGUUCUUGGCCUUGAUGGUGAAGAUCCCUGAGUCGGAGCGCUUGGAGGAGGGGAUGACCAGCUGGGACAUCCCAUCCGUGUUGAUGACGUUGAUCCAGGGAGAGACCGGCUCGUCGUCCUUCAGCCAGGAGAUGCUUGGCGGGGGCUCGGCCUGAACACACACCCACAGAGAUGGUCAACGACGACCCCCAGAUGAACCCCUUUACACAUACAAAAGAGCUGGUCUCAUUCUGCUUUUUCUGGAUUUUGAUCCUCACUGAAUUUCCAGCCCUGAUCACAAUGAAGUCCUCCGGGUCUUUGAAAUUUGGCCGCACUAAACACCAUAACACAGAACAGUCACGUUGAGGCUGGGGCUGAAUUCUCACUUCUACUGAGUCUACACGCUGGUAGCCGACCACUGUCCCAAACGUCUCCACCGGAGGGGUCCACGUCAGGUGGAUGCAGGUCUUGGAUGCACUCACCACCUUGGGCGCACCAGGCGGACCAGGGAACACUGAGGGAAAGAAGGCACUAUAAACACAAGGUCAUGGAAUUCUUUUUUUUUUUUUUAAGCAGUUGAGUGUCCUAAAAGAUGGAUUUCCCCUGCAGGAGGAGGGAAGCAGCUUACCCAAAGUACCCGCCAUGAUGUUUUCUGUCUGGAGAGGGUUGCUGAGGCCUUCAGGGUUCUCUGCGUAUAUCCGGUAGAUGUACUUCUUGCCCAGGACCACGUUCCGGUCACGGUAGACCGUCUUGUCGGCGGUGACGUCGCCCAGCUUCUUCCAGAGGCUCUGGCCCAGCUGCUGGCGUUCCAGGAUGUAGUGUGUGACAGGGGAGCCUCCAUCGUCCUGCGGAGGGUUCCACUUCAGCUCUAUCACCGAGGCGCUGCUGUCCAGGACCUCCACUGGGCCUUCCGGGGUGCCGGGCUUGUCUACAGCCCAGGGGAGUUAAGAUAUAGAUUAUAUAAUACUAUAUGUUGAUAUUUUUUUUAUU